UGGCAGACACCAAUAAUCUCAGCUGCAGGAAGAUUGCACAUCUAAGGCCAACCUGGCCUAUGUAUGAGACCAUGUCUCAAAAUGAAAACAGAGAAAGAAAAGGAGGCUGGGAAUGUGACUUAGUUAGCCUAGCACUUGCCUUACCCAGUAAGACUUCUUUCAUUUAAUAAAAGAGAGAGAGAGUGAUCUAUGAACAGCAGGAAUAUAGAAAACAAGAACAAGCUUACCUCCUACUUUAUUCAACAUCCACCUUGUUCCCCCUACUAGCAGUUCCCAUAGUCGACCACUAGGGGGCAUGCAAGCUAAGCAAUCGCUACUUGCAGAGCUAAUUCUCCACCAUCAAGUUGCUUCGACUUCGCCUUUAAUCAGAAGUGCACUAGGCAGCUCGCAGGCUUACACACAACCAACCCUAAUCACCAUCGUGUUCUGCAGCCCAGCCAGUAACUCUGGUCAUGGAAUUCAGAGCCCAGACUGCUGCUCAUAACCCAGUUAGAACAGGAAUCCUGCAGCUAGCAGAGUCUCUCCGAGCCUAUUCCUACCAACCUCACAGAAAGGUAGAAUGCCCUCUAAACACCAUAGUCUAACGUUUGUAAGCUCUGACCUUGGCCACCAGCCUGACCCCUAGAUGUCAAAACCACAAGAUACAUUCUGUUCCCACCUGCCUGACCACUGACCACUUUCAGCCGCACUCUAUGCCCCGUUCUCAGCCUGAUGUCCUCUUCCAACCUGCCCAUGAUGCUCUACCAGGUCCUCGGAGUCCUUAGCAGACCUACACCCACUCCCUCUGCCCAGACUGGUGUGUAGAUACCAUCAUAAGCAGGUGUUACUUCCUCUGGACCCUCCAGGACUCAUGCAUGCGUGCUUCUGCUCAGGCCGGCUGAUCCUCUCUCAUCCUUCAACACAUUAUUAGUCUUGCUUUCUCUGCACACCUCCCUGGAUUAGCUGGCUGCCUCUGUUUGGUCUUAAUGCCUCCUCCCUUCUUAAUCACAAGGCCAGUCUCAGACAAAGGAGAUUGUGGCCCUGACACAUUGGUCCUCAAUGGCACAGUUCCCUGAAAAAGAAAUGGAGGCUAAAGGAAGAAGCUUUAUCCCCCGAGUUAGCAUCGGCAGUGCUCCUUGUUCUGACUGUGGUUGUUAAGGACCAGUUCAGAUCCAGCACCUGAUUACAGUGGCGAUCACCAGUCCCUGAUUCGAAGGCGGGACAGGCCAGCUUGUUGUUGGACAGGACCAACCUCCUUGCUCACCUCUAUCUCUGACUUACUGCUCAGUACCAUGUUUGCAUUAGAAUCCUGUGUAUGUCUUGGUCUUUUCUUCUUUGUUUAUAUCUGUAGGUAUGUCUUGCUGAACACGAUCUUGGAGGGAGGAGUGUGUGCAUGGGAGAUACCGCAGCCCAAGCUUGAACAAGGGGAAGACCUGGCAACAGUCUUCUCCUCAGUCAGGCCUCUUACAGGUCCCACCAGGUUUCACAUUGCCCAACGUCCACAGUGCAAACCCUUGCAACACUGUGAAACUAUUUCCCAAGCACACAGAUUCUUUCAGCAUCUCCCCUUCACACUUGAUCGCCUUCUCCGAGAGUGAACAGUACUGUACCUGCUCGCUGGACAUGGGUAUUUUGUACUGUUCUCUCUUGAGGUCAUAGACAAACGUGCCCUUUAGCUUUGUAUGAGUACCACCUAGGGUUUCAUGCUGAAUGUUCCUCUAAUGAAAGGCAAAUGCGCAAAAACUGGGCAAGUGCAUUUCAAGGCUGAAGCCGCUGACUUGUCGGAGCGAUGUGAUGGGGUGUUUAUGUCCCUUCCUUGGCAGUGACUGCCAUUCCUGGGGAAAGACUUAGAGGGAUCCUUUGCUGACACAGUAUUAUUCCAAGGUUUGCCUGUGGCUUUGGUUUUUGUUGUUUUGUCAUGCGAGCUACAUUCCCAGACCUGCCUUUGAGGUCUUUGUAGACAUUGUCUCUUCCAUUUCUUAGGGAGUAUCUAUGUCUAGGAGAAAUAGUUCAAUUCUGUAAUGCUUAAUUUUCAUUGUCACCCUGCUUGGAUAGGAAUCACUAAAGGAGGAGCAUGAGUGGUGUCUGUCAAGGUGGUGUCAGAAGUUUACCUGGGGAGGGAAGACCUUCCCUGAAUGUGGGCAGUAUCCUAUUGGCUAAGGUUCUGAACUAAAUAAAUAAAACCAUGAAGAGAACCGAAAAAAAAAA